rnacentral:lncRNA from 1 species
AGCCAGAUUUCACUGUUCAGGCUUUAUCUUACAUUUCAUUGAAGAGGGAUCCAUUGCUGCUAUUUUGUCAUGCCCAUCUCAUUGAUGAGCACUCUCAGCCUCUUAAGCAAACUAGUCAUACAGUGAUAUAAAAGCUCAAAUCAGAAUUUGAAAAGAAUUCAGUGUCACUUAGAAAGGUCUGGCUGCCACCUCUCUUGAUAUUGAAGCACUGGUGAAAUUUCAAUCUUGGGCUCAAAGAGAACAAAGCUGGGAUUGAGAGAUUUCACCACUACGGUUUUUGGCUACAUUUCUUCGCUAAUUUGAAGAAGAAACUAGUAAGAUAUCCAUAAUCCAUUCAUAUUACUGAACUAGAACACUGUUGUAAUCGAAAGCAAAGCAGUCAACGUGAUCAAGUUCAAGAGCAAAAGAUUUA